rnacentral:rRNA from 1 species
UGGGGAAUAUUGCGCAAUGGGCGAAAGCCUGACGCAGCAACGCCGCGUGGGGGAUGAAGGCCUUCGGGUUGUAAACCUCUUUCAGCAGGGAAGAAGCGAAAGUGACGGUACCUGCAGAAGAAGCACCGGCUAACUACGUGCCAGCAGCCGCGGUAAUACGUAGGGUGCAAGCGUUGUCCGGAUUUAUUGGGCGUAAAGAGCUCGUAGGCGGUUAGUCACGUCGGAUGUGAAAACCCGGAGCUUAACUCCGGGCCUGCAUUCGAUACGGGCUGACUAGAGUGUUGUAGGGGAGACUGGAACUCCUGGUGUAGCGGUGAAAUGCGCAGAUAUCAGGAAGAACACCGGUGGCGAAGGCGGGUCUCUGGGCAACUACUGACGCUGAGGAGCGAAAGCGUGGGGAGCAAACA